rnacentral:rRNA from 1 species
UACGGAGGGGGCGAGCGUUAUUCGGAAUUAUUGGGCGUAAAGGGCGCGUAGGCGGCUUGACAAGUCAAAGGUGAAAUCCCUCGGCUCAACUGAGGAACUGCCUUUGAAACUGUCUGGCUUGAGGCCGGGAGGGGGUAGCGGAAUUCCCAGUGUAGCGGUGAAAUGCGUAGAUAUCAGGAGGAAUACCGAUGGCGAAGGCAGGUCUCUGGGCUGACACUGACGCUCAUGCACGAAAGCGUGGGGAGCAAACAGG